GGAGAGCAUCCUACGGGAGGCAGCAGUGGGGAAUAUUGCACAAUGGGCGCAAGCCUGAUGCAGCCAUGCCGCGUGUAUGAAGAAGGCCUUCGGGUUGUAAAGUACUUUCAGGCAGUGAGGAAGGUGGAUAUGUUAAUAGCAUAUUCAUUUGACGUUAGCUGCAGAAGAAGCACCGGCUAACUCCGUGCCAGCAGCCGCGGUAAUACGGAGGGUGCGAGCGUUAAUCGGAAUUACUGGGCGUAAAGCGCAUGCAGGUGGUUUGUUAAGUCAGAUGUGAAAGCCCGGGGCUCAACCUCGGAAUUGCAUUUGAAACUGGCAAACUAGAGUACUGUAGAGGGGGUAGAAUUUCAGGUGUAGCGGUGAAAUGCGUAGAGAUCUGAAGGAAUACCGGUGGCGAAGGCGGCCCCCUGGACAGAUACUGACACUCAGAUGCGAAAGCGUGGGGAGCAAACAGGAUUAGAUACCCUGGUAG
rnacentral:rRNA from 1 species